GAUGAACGCUGGCGGCGUGCCUAAUACAUGCAAGUCGAGCGAACGGACGAGAAGCUUGCUUCUCUGAUGUUAGCGGCGGACGGGUGAGUAACACGUGGAUAACCUACCUAUAAGACUGGGAUAACUUCGGGAAACCGGAGCUAAUACCGGAUAAUAUUUUGAACCGCAUGGUUCAAAAGUGAAAGACGGUCUUGCUGUCACUUAUAGAUGGAUCCGCGCUGCAUUAGCUAGUUGGUAAGGUAACGGCUUACCAAGGCAACGAUGCAUAGCCGACCUGAGAGGGUGAUAGGCGACACUGGAACUGGAACACGGACCAGGCUCCUACGGGAGGCAGCAGUAGGGAAUCUUCCGCAAUGGGCGAAAGCCUGACGGAGCAACGCCGCGUGAGUGAUGAAGGUCUUCGGAUCGUAAAACUCUGUUAUUAGGGAAGAACAUAUGUGUAAGUAACUGUGCACAUCUUGACGGUACCUAAUCAGAAAGCCACGGCUAACUACGUG
rnacentral:rRNA from 1 species